UAGUCUCUCCAGUAAUGCAGCUAACGCAUUAAGCAUCCCGCCUGGGGAGUACGGUCGCAAGAUUAAAACUCAAAGGAAUAGACGGGGACCCGCACAAGCGGUGGAGCAUGUGGUUUAAUUCGAAGAUACACGAAGAACCUUACCUAGGCUUGACAUUGAGAGAAUCCGCUAGAAAUAGUGGAGUGUCUAGCUUGCUAGACCUUGAAAACAGGUGCUGCACGGCUGUCGUCAGCUCGUGUCGUGAGAUGUUGGGUUAAGUCCCGCAACGAGCGCAACCCCCUUUCUUAGUUGCUAACAGGUCAUGCUGAGAACUCUAAGGAUACUGCCUCCGUAAGGAGGAGGAAGGUGGGGACGACGUCAAGUCAUCAUGGCCCUUACGCCUAGGGCUACACACGUGCUACAA
rnacentral:rRNA from 1 species